rnacentral:lncRNA from 1 species
CUUCACAACAAUUCUAGGAGUCAGGUUCAAUUGUUAUUGCCAUUUGAUAGAUGAUGAGGGCAAUGAGUCUUAGAGAGGUUAAAUAAUUUGCUAAAGGCCACACAGCCUGUAAAGUGGCAGAAGCUGGGACCAUCCAACUCUAAAGCCCACAUUCUUAGACAUUAGGGGAUAUUGAAUGAAGUGUGUGUAUGUAUGGGGGAAUUUAAGAGAAUAUCAAACCAUUUGUAGAGUUCUACCCAAUAUAGAGACCUUAUCUAAUGUAAGAGAACUCUGAAGACAUCUCAUUGAUUGAAUGCUCUCCCCUUCAUAGCAACUUCUUCUGCGGCUUCCUUGCCUGGUGCUCCAGUCUUUGAGGGAAGCACGGCUGGCACGUUCUUCCGUUUGGAGACAUGGUUGACAAUUUCUCCAUAAUGGGGACACAACUGGCAAUUUUCCUACAGAGUGAGGCAGAUGGCAAUUUUCCUUCAGAGACAUGCAGGCAACAGUUUUGCCCCUGGAGAGAAAAGCCUCGCCGAUUGAGAUGCAGCCAGUAAUUUUUACUAUACAGAAGACACAUCCAAUAAUUUUGCCCAGUGAGAGAAACGGCCAACAAUUUUCCCACAGAGGACAGGAAAAACAGACCAAAAAUUCAUAGUGGGGAGAAGUGAGGAGCAAAUGGGCUGGUAUGACCAAGAAAGACUUAAUAAGAAGCUGAGCCUUAAAUGAUCAAGAAGCACUGGAUAGAUAAGAGGAAUAAUCAUUUAUUAGCCAAGCGGGACUGGUGCCUUUUUGAGAACUGUCAUUCUGGAAAGAUAUUGAUUGAAGGAGGCCUCUGAGCACAUUCUCUCCAGCAGGCAGCCGUAAGGGAGGCGGCUGCAGUCCAGACAAGAUGAUGAGUUGGCAGUGAGCAUCUCGACAGGAGCCUAAUGAAGAAAUCUGGUAACAGCGAGGGCUGGCUUUAUGAGCGCUCAUAUUUGGUCUUUCACUCUCUGCAAGGUUGGUGAGUGGCAAAAGUGUCCAUGGGCCUCUACCUCCCACUGUGGAAUUACACAUUCCUACAGCCAGUGGGCUCCGGGAACCCAAUGGCAGCAUCCCCAGGCCCCUGGGCCCACUCCACACAUCACAGGCUAGAGACUUCUUGUCUGCCUCCUUUCUCACGUCUCUCCCCCUGAGAUAGCAUGCUCUCCCCUCCCUCCUUCCCUCUCAUAAUUUGUUCCCAACAGGUAGCUUUGUGCAGUUACUCCAAGAGAAGCCCGAACUCCCUGGGGAGCCUCUGCCCAGGUGGAAGAGCUCUCGAGUGGCUAUUAUUAGGGGUGAUUGCUGGGAAGCUGGUUGCCAUGGCACCGCAGAGGCCAGUGCUGAACUCCCAAGCUGCCCCGUUUCCAAGGCUGUCUACAUAAUCACUGCAAUGAGAGGCACAGGCACAGAAAGGGAGAGAGGAGCAGCUCCCCACUGACAGUGAUCUCCCUGCAGAGCAAGGUUCCUGGAGUUUGCAAACAUCGAGUAGUGAUAGUCUUCCAUCUGCCAGGCACUGCGCUAAACUCUUUAUGGAGACAAAGAAAUGAUGCUCAGAGAGUCAUUUGCCCUUGGUCACAGGCUAAGAAGAGGCAGAGCUAGGACGUAAACCCAACUCUGGCUCUAUGGCAUCUCAUAUAGCAUCAUUUUUCCUCCAGUCCUCUGACUAGAAAGGGUGGCCCCUUCAACCUGGUGCUGAGAACAGACACUGGCGGCCCCACACCUCUGAAGGCAUGGUUCCAGCAAAUAGAAAUUGGACUGGCAAGGAUUAAACCGCUGGUUUGGGCUUCAUUAGCUAUGUGAUCUCACCAACCACAGAGAAUUAACCAGAGUGGAGCCAUCUCUUUACAGACUUAACACAAUGUACCGAGGCAAUGUGGAGAACAGUCACUGAAUUUAUUGAGCACCUACUACCUGCUCCAGACAUGCCAUUAACACGUGGGCUAUCCUUCCCUUCCACAGUCACUCUAGAACUUGAGGCCACUGUCCUCUGAUGCAGAGAGAAGAAACAUUUUAUAAUCACUGUAGACAAUAAAGGCUUUAUCUGUUAGCAAGCACUUUUGCUUAAUGACUUGGUCAUGGGGAAGGAGAGACAGGUUGUACUUGGUCCUCAUUUUGCACUUGGUUAGAGAGUAAGAGGCCUUUCCAUCUCCACUGCUGCUCAGGUACUUCCUCCCAGUGUACUCUAGCACUCCCCCAGCAGGUUCUGUAGAAACACAGACCCCAAGGCCUGGGCAGACUCUACCAGAAAAAUACUUGUGUUCCUCUGUGCUCUGCCUAGUACAUGGCUUCCCUGGCUACCUCUCCUACAGGCCUGGGGAGGCAAAGAUGGGAAGUGUUUGUAGGUAUUAUCUACUGACAACAUUCAACUUUAGACCUCGGUUCAAGCCCCCUCUACCUUUGCCUAGAUCUUUGACUUUGUGUAAACAACAUGCUUUUUCUGGGCCCAAUUUUCUCAUCUGUAACUCCAAGUUUAUGAAUUGUUUUGAUAAUAAAAUACUAAAAAAUAUUGAGUGUUUGCUGUGGACCAGACAUUUCAUUGAAUCUGCACAACAAUCCAGUAAUGCAUGUGCCAUUAUUGUCCCCAUUUUAUAGAGGUGGAUACUUAGCUGUACAGAGGGUAAAUCCAAGGAGUUAAGUCCAAGUUACCCACACCUGGGCUUGUCUGACCCCAGAACCAGCACUAUUGACCACUAUGAUAUACAGCCUCUUUCUAUCUUCAUUAAAGCCAAGUUUCCAAGCCACAGGAAUCUCAC